UACGGAGGGUGCGAGCGUUGUCCGGAAUCACUGGGCGUAAAGGGCGCGUAGGUGGCCUGAUAAGUAGGGGGUGAAAUCCUGCGGCUUAACCGCAGGGCUGCCUUCUAAACUGUCAGGCUCGAGCACAGUAGAGGCAGGUGGAAUUCCCGGUGCAGCGGUGGAAUGCGUAGAGAUCGGGAAGAACAUCAGUGGCGAAGGCGGCCUGCUGGGCUGUUGCUGACGCUGAGGCGCGACAGCGUGGGGAGCAAACAGG
rnacentral:rRNA from 1 species